rnacentral:rRNA from 1 species
GACGAACGCUGGCGGCGUGCUUAACACAUGCAAGUCGAACGGAGAGGCCCUGCUUUUGUGGGGUGCUCGAGUGGCGAACGGGUGAGUAACACGUGAGUAACCUGCCCUUGACUUUGGGAUAACUUCAGGAAACUGGGGCUAAUACCGGAUAGGAGCUCCUGCUGCAUGGUGGGGGUUGGAAAGUUUCGGCGGUUGAGGAUGGACUCGCGGCUUAUCAGCUUGUUGGUGGGGUAGUGGCUUACCAAGGCUUUGACGGGUAGCCGGCCUGAGAGGGUGACCGGCCACAUUGGGACUGAGAUACGGCCCAGACUCCUACGGGAGGCAGCAGUGGGGAAUAUUGCACAAUGGGCGGAAGCCUGAUGCAGCAACGCCGCGUGCGGGAUGACGGCCUUCGGGUUGUAAACCGCUUUCGCCUGUGACGAAGCGUGAGUGACGGUAAUGGGUAAAGAAGCACCGGCUAACUACGUG